CGAGGUGUGGCGCAGUCCGGUUAGCGCACCUGCUUUGGGAGCAGGGGGCCGCAGGUUCGAAUCCUGCCACCUCGA
rnacentral:tRNA from 2 species